CAAAAUUUGAAAACAAAUUAUAAAUUAUCUAGUAGUUCAAAACCAUAUCCAACAUAUGUAAUGAAAUGUUAUUAAUGUGGCAGAGAAAGGGAUAUUUGAAGAAGUACUGUCGUUAUUAUAAAAAAGCAAUGGAAUAUAAAAAUAUAUGAAAAACAAAUAAGAUUGCAGAUUAUACAAUGUGUACAACUGGAUAUUAGUACAAAUGAUAACGGAAUUGUAUUCAUGGCAGUGGCAAAAUGCAAUACUUUUAUAAAGGCAGCAAAAUGGGGUACAUUGAAUAUAACAAGUGAAUAUAAAACAAUAUUUUAUAUUCACCAAAUGUUCCAUUUAACUUGUUGUCUGUGUCAAACAUGCAACAAAUGGAUAUGACAAUUGUAUUUAAUCAAGAGGGAGUAAAAAUCUUGAGAAAUGGUAAGGUUAUCAUAAUGGGUAAGUACUCAAAUAAUCUUAUUACUGUAGAUUUCAAAGUAGAAAAUGAGAAAGUUCGGUUGUUUAAAUAUAUACUACUGUAAAAGAUAAUUUUGAAUUAUGGCAUGAAC